GAUGAACGCUGGCGGCGUGCCUAAUACAUGCAAGUCGAGCGAACGGACGAGAAGCUUGCUUCUCUGAUGUUAGCGGCGGACGGGUGAGUAACACGUGGAUAACCUACCUAUAAGACUGGGAUAACUUCGGGAAACCGUAGCUAAUACCGGAUAAUAUUUUGAACCGCAUGGUUCAAAAGUGAAAGACGGUCUUGCUGUCACUUAUAGAUGGAUCCGCGCUGCAUUAGCUAGUUGGUAAGGUAACGGCUUACCAAGGCAACGAUGCAUAGUCGACCUGAGAGGGUGAUCGGCCACACUGGAACUGCGACACGGUCCAGACUCCUACGGGAGGCAGCAGUAGGGAAUCUUCCGCAAUGGGCGAAAGCCUGACGGAGCAACGCCGCGUGAGUGAUGAAGGUCUUCGGAUCGUAAAACUCUGUUAUUAGGGAAGAACAUAUGUGUAAGUAACUGUGCACAUCUUGACGGUACCUAAUCAGAAAGCCACGGCUAACUACGUG
rnacentral:rRNA from 1 species